UACGUAGGUGGCAAGCGUUGUCCGGAUUUACUGGGUGUAAAGGGCGUGUAGGCGGAUAAAUAAGUUGGGUGUGAAAUACCACGGCUCAACCGUGGGGGUGCAUUCAAAACUAUUUACCUUGAGUGCUGGAGAGGAAAGCGGAAUUCCUAGUGUAGCGGUGAAAUGCGUAGAUAUUAGGAGGAACACCAGUGGCGAAGGCGGCUUUCUGGACAGUAACUGACGCUGAGGCGCGAAAGCGUGGGGAGCAAACAGG
rnacentral:rRNA from 1 species